GAUGAAGAACGUAGCGAAAUGCGAUAAGUAAUGUGAAUUGCAGAAUUCAGUGAAUCAUCGAAUCUUUGAACGCUCAUUGCGCCCGCCAGUAUUCUGGCGGGCAUGCCUGUCCGAGCGUCAUUUCAACCCUCGAACCCCUCCGGGGGGUCGGCGUUGGGGAUCGGCACUUACCUGCCGGCCCCGAAAUACAGUGGCGGUCUCGCCGCAGCCUCUCCUGCGCAGUAGUUUGCACACUCGCACCGGGAGCGCGGCGCGUCCACGGCCGUAAAACAACCCAAACUUCUGAAAUGUUGACCUCGGAUCAGGUAGGAAUACCCGCUGAACUUAAGCAUAUCAAUAAGCGGAGGA
rnacentral:misc_RNA from 1 species